UGUUAAAGAACAACAUCACGCCCCCUUAAGUGCGCAGUUGCUGAAGGAUGUCAUUGCAACCUAGUAGGCGAGCCGAUGCCUAUGUCUGCGUAUAGCCGACUUCAGCAUUUAAUAUUGACGAUGAAACGAAUAUAUUGAUGUUUAAAGCUUCCAGAAACGCGAGAGGCAUCCUUUCAGAUCUAAAGCAGUAAAGCCUCACGCACUUUCAGAAGUUGCGCUGUUAUUUCAGUACCAUCGUCAUCAUCAUUACACAAUAUAAAGCGGAACAGGCGUUUCGGCGUUAUGAAGCAAAACUUCGCAGAAACGAGGAGCCGGCUCGAUGCCUUUCAUAAACAUCACCUGAUUGUCAACGUGACUGGACGGAUUGAGAGGCAGAGAGAGAGAGAGAGAGAGAGAGAGAGAGAGGAAGACUGACAAAGAGGAGAGAGAGAUGGCGUGCAGCUGUAUUGGUGGUCCAAUUGGUGCUUUCUGGGUCACAGGCGAUUGGAGCAUUGGAGGGAUUCUUGUAUGUCUUUGAAUGCAAUAUGACCAGUGAAAGAGGCCGUCAGGGUGAACGAGCACUGCCUAGGGCACAUUAUCCAACUUAAGGUAAGAUGUAAUCCUAAAAUGCUCCUAGAAACUGCAAAGUGUGUUUGUGAAUGUACUAAUGACUGUGCAAGUGUAGGGGGAUUGCCUUAUUCUCAAAGGAUUCUUGCAACGCUACCUAUGAUUUUUGGUCUCAAGUCAGGUUGUGACUAGGGCUGCACGAUAAAUCACAUGUGAUAUUUAAUGCGCAUCUUGUUAGUAAACCUGGUUCUGUAAUCAGCGGUAAAUCUCCGUCACCUUCACGCUUUCACAUGGAGCAGCAUUAACUACACAGAGCCAUUGCUGACUGACAAGCAUGCUCAAAACCACGUUCAGGUUUUUGCAUGUUUUGCGUUAAAUAAUAUCGAAUGCGAUUUAUCGCGCAGCACUAGUUGUGACCAUGCCUAUGAUGCCUUGUUUUGCUAGGCAGCUCAGUAGGUUCUAGAACUAUUGUGUGUUAGACAGUUAAGGCACAAAUUGUGUAUGUGUAUGUGUGAGAGAGACAGACAGAAACUGAGAGCUGAAAGUAUGUCAAAAGGAAGGUAACUCAAUCUGGGCAGCUGUGAGUCAUUCCGGUGCAGUGCCACGUCUCAGUGUAUAGACAUAGAGAGAAUACCUGCUCCGGCUGUAUGGUUUUGUGUUGGACGGAAACGGUAAUGUUUAACAGUGAGCCAGGCCUAACAUGAAGGUGAAUAAAGGUGUAAAAUAGAGUGAGAAAAUAAAAUGUCAAUGCAAGAUGAAGAUGUAACCUUGACAUACGUGCCAAUGUGUCACGCCUCCUCUCCCAUGUGCUCCUGGGCAAACAGCGGUGAAUGUGUGUGCGCUUCGAUAUGCAGACAAAUCAUGCCCCUGGGAAGAUUGGAGAAAACAUGUUUUGCGAUGUGGAGGAACGUACUGUACAGUAAUUGGCUUCUCCUAUUUGAGCUGUGAGAAAAUGACAAGACAUGAUUAUAUCACUGCUUUAGUGGCCAAUGGUGGGGCAGAGCAAACACACGAGAGUGUGUGUGGUUUUUAUGUGUUUCUGGUAUGGUAUGCCUCGGGGCUUUGGCUUUGUAUGUCAGGUAAUCCUCCUGAAAAAGAUGGAUUACAGUGCAUAUAAAGGAAAAAUGCAUCAACAAUGCAUUUGAACUUUCCUGUUGUAUGUAUGCUUGGAAUAAUUGUUUUUUUAUAUAUAUAUUUGGUUUUAUUUUAUAUAUUUUGUUGUUUUAUAAUUUUGUCGUUGUGGUUUAAAUUGUGUUGUGUAUGUUUUAUUUGUUUUAUUUAUUUUUGGUUUGUUUUGUUUGUAUAUGUUUUAUUUCUAUCAUUUAUUUUAAUAGGUUGUGUUUUUUUUUUUUUUUUUGACCAGGCACACAAAGUAAUUUUUCCACAACUAAGUGAAAAUACUUUGCAAUGUGACACUUUCACAGCCAAUGAGAAUAUUUAAUAUUUAACAAACUGUUAUGUAGAGAAAGAUUUUGGACCAAUGAGAUUUUAGUGUGGGUGGAGCUACACGGCACAAAACUACAUUUUUUACCUCUUGUUUGGAUUGUUGUGGCUAGUUACAACACAAUGCUAAUGUGUUUUUGACCUUCAUGUUAUGUUCCAAUCAUUUUGCAAAACAAAACCUGUGCUAAUUGAAAGAAAACAAGUAUGAUGAAAAAUCACAUAAUGAGAGAUUUACAAGCAUUUCUUUUAAAAGCCAGUCAUUUUUAACUGGAAACAGCAACUUAAAGAAUUUUCAGCACAGCUCAAUUGUUCUGUGGAGGUCAGUGGGUAGCUGGGUCAAAAAUGGGCUUGGUUUGUUUGAUAAUGGCUCUAUAAAACCAUGACAUCAUCUCAGGCUCUUUCAGAGCUAGAAAUACAAUCACAAUUCAAUCUUGUAAAAAUAAGACCAAAUUUUGGCAGCAGAUUUUAUGGGUUUAUUCAUAUUUUAUGUCUCAUUGGAUAAGAUUAACAAUGAAGGACUUUGCCCUCUCAAAACGUAACAUCAAGGAAGCAUGUGCAUUAUGUGCCAGUGGACAAUGAAGUACACUGCAGUCCGUGGCUGGCGUGAUGCCCAGUCUUUCUUAAGAAAGCUAGAUUUAAUGCUUCCUCCUCUUCCCACUCUCUCGCUAGCCUCAGACUGUUACGAUUGUAUUGAAUGUAUCCAGUGAUUUUUCAUCUUUUAUCUAGUGCAUAACCUAUCAAUAUCCUGAAUUCAGACGCAUAUCAUUCACAAUCAUUAAACAACCUCUUAUUAUUAAAUUAUCACUGGGAGAGAUUGAAAAACUAAUGUGUUUGUGGUGUUAUCGAUUGAUGUCACAUCUGUGAAGUCAUUGAAGACGUCAUUGUGGGAUUGGCACUGAAAGAAAUCACUCAGAGAAAGGAGAAAGAGAUUGAGGACCAUUUGAAAACACAGAGGAGUCAUCAGUCUAUUGGUUAAAAGACAGAUUACAAUUAUCCAGAAGGAAGUAACAGCGGCAGUCAUUCUGUUUUAUAUUAAAUGUCUCAGAUAGUGUGGAUCCUUGGCAGAUUCAGUUUCAUCAUUGCAUGGGAUGUUAUCAGGCGGCCAUAAUGAAACACGAGGUAGGUGCUAACCUAAUUCAGAAAAUUACCCAGCAGCAUAAUCAUGUCAUCGCUGUUUAUUGGUUUCAAGCAUUCAGCGAUGAGUUUACAACUGAAGUGGUGUGUUAUGGAGAUUCAGUUCUUAGUUUUGAUUGGACACACCCCAUAGGAAGUUGAUUUGGAACUUGAAUUUACUGAACUACAGUUUUAACAAAGAAUGUAUUCUGGGAAAUUAAAUGUCUUUCCUCCAUGGUUCACACAAGUUAGUUUAUUAAAUAUGAAGAAAAACACAUACAAUUAAAUACAAGUUUCUAUAUUUGAAAUGUAAUUAGUCUCUCUAUCCAUCCAUCUAUAGUAUCCAUCUAGCCAUCUGUCUAUUCAUCCAUCUUCAAUGUGCAUGAAUGGUUAUGUAACAUACAUUUUCAGUCGUGUAUUGUGGAAACAACAGUAUGGAGGAUGAUUGAUCUCGUUUUAUAAUGCUGUUUUAAAAUGAAAACGCACUACUGUAAACGUAGCCUUUCUAUGGGGGUUUGGAUGCUUACUACAGACUCACGUGUGAGACAUUUCUGGGCGUGACCGGUGCAAACCACUGUUUUUCCUUGAUGCCUCACCACAGCCAAUCACCAGCACUUGAUUUAGGUAAAUACAGUAAAGCAUGCUGCAUGCUUAUUGGUUGACAGAUGUUGACAAGAUUAACCCCUUUGGUAUCAAAACUUGGUACCGAACACCAAGAGAUUUUCCAAACUCGAUGGUAUCAAGGCAAUUCAGUCAGUGCCUAUAAAGUAUCAAACUUGAUAGCCAGCCCUAUCUCCCACCCAUCCAUAUAUCUGUCUAUACAUUUUGCUACAGUAUUAAUCUAUCCAUCCAUUCAUUCAUCCACCCGUUUAUCAGUCAUCUAUAUAUACACAUCUAAUUAUAAAUCCAUUUAUAUACGAGUCCAUCCAUAUAUCCGUCCAUCAUCAAAAUAUUCAUCUAUCAAUCCAUCUUCAAGGUUUUUUACAUUUAUUUCAAAAGUAUCAUUAAAUGUUUGUCUUGGCAAACUAUAUUUUUCUAGUAAAGCUUUGAAUUGCAAUUCUGCAUCCUAUUUUUUUUCCUUACUUGAAAUCUGUCUAUCCAUAUUUUUUUUCUUAAUUGAAAUCAGGAAUAAUAAAAUGAACUAAGAUUUGACCCCACUUUAAAGGUCAGGGAUAGUCUGAAUGCAAAGCUAACUCGAUGCUUCACUCAUUCGUUCAUUUUUGGCUCACUUUGGUUCUGAGUUUUACAUUCGAAGUGGACUCAAGUGUGGAAACUUGAAUUAUUAGCCGUUAAAUAUAUAAGCAGACAUUGAUUUGUUUGGGUUUUUACCCACACACAAUAAUUAGGCUGACUUAAUGCUCAUCUCACCUCACACAGUGCUACUCCUAGUAGAUAGGUUCCUGUUGUGUGCGCUGAACUGUAACGUCACUGGGGCCCCACACUAGGUUUCUGGGAACUAGUCACGUUUACUGUAAAAGUUGUAUUUUUCUUUUUUUUUUCUUCAGCACUUAAAUUUUGGGAAGCAGACUUGGCCCUGGGCCCUCUGUUAAGAGGUCUCUGCUUUAUGACUCGCUCCUGUGGUUAGCUGGAAGUCUGACCCCAUGCCACCGACAAGUCAUGAAAGCAAAGACUGUGCGAACAACAUGCAGGAAAGGAUUUUUUUCCUUUGCUAUUAAUCGCCACUGAGAUGGACCCUGUGACAGAUGAUCUGAUUUAAGGCCUGUUUGCGGCAUGAGUCAGAGGAAGUAUACUUAAGCGCAAGUGCAGUGAAAUGAAGAACAAAUGUGCGCUGUAAACUCAGAGGGAGGGGGGUAACAGACAUCCCUUAGGAUUGCGGGGGGAGCACUGAGUUACGUGAGCCAUAGCCGACGGCUAGACGUGAGUCAGUUAAGACUCAUGGUACUUAUUAAAUUAUGGAUACAGUAUCAAGGCAUACUGUAAUAGACUUCCAAGAAGAUAUUCCCUCACUUGACAGAAAUGUGUCAUUUCUCGGAAAACGCUGUUGUUUAAAUAUAAACCUGGUGAUCAUCACACAUCGUGUUAAGUUUGUGGUUAUUCGCCAAACCUCAUUCCUAGGGUGUGGUGAUCAAAACUCAGGAUUGGUAUUUGGAAGGUUGCUGGUUCAGUCCCACAAGCGAGUCCGACAACACAGCUGUGCCCCAUAGCAAGGUAUGUAGAUUUAAUGUUCAUUUAGAAAAAAAAAUCUAAUGCAAAUUGUCAUUAUUUACUCACCCUCUUGUCAUUAAAAACUUUCAUACAUUAAAAACCAAAUAAGAUGUUCAGCAAAAUGUUCAUGCUGCUCCCAUGAUGUAGCGAUGUCUUAGAAGGCCACAAAACUUCUGCCAGAGAAUACAAAAGUUAGUAUUUAUAAUAAUUUAUUAUCACCAUGUUCCUUUUGGGGCUCUAUGUUUUAUUACUUAGUAAGUCCUUUAACAUUUUCUCUUCUAUCAUAGCUCUCAAAACUGUAAAUUAGCAUAUAGAGCAUUUAACAUACUAAAUUAGCAUUUAGGAGUAUAUAUUAAUACUUUUGAAUUGGCCAAUGCAGCAUGUCAUUGACUUUAAACAUCAUAUUUUAAAAUGUACUAGAAUUGCGGGGAUGAAUGUGUUAAUUUAUGUGAUUAAUGUGAAUUGUUUAAUGACUUUAAUCAAUAUAGCAUCCUUUUAUAUUACAGAUGCUAAUGUUUUUCCCAGUUUUUUUUUUUUUUAUAGUAUAGGGUUCUAUUCUCAGACUGACAUGCAGAGCAAGAGAGUAAUCAUAAUUCAUGAUUCACAGCUUUAAUAUAUACACAAAUAUAAAUAUACCAAUUUGUUUUCACAGUUUAGAAGGGAGCAGUGUGAACAUUGUUCUUAGCAUCUCAUUUUGUGUUGAAGAAAGUAAUCCAUACAGGUUCGGAACAAUGAAGUGAGUAAAUGACCGUUUUCAUUAUUGGGUCUACUAGUCUUUUAAUACCAGGUUUCUUCACAGAGAAGUCAUUUAGGAUAAAACUGUCUGGUAAACGCUGCAUCAGAGUGAGUGUGCUGUGUGCGAGAGCAGGUAUUGGUGGUUUAGAGGUUAUCAGAGAGCGGACACGCAUAAUAAGCUGCACACUGCGAUGAGGAAAUGUAAAAUUACUGAUUUGCGUAGAGGAGUUUCUGUUGGCCAGAUGAGCGCAGGCUGAGUUUCCAAGGAGCGCUUCUCAGAACAGCUUAUUUAGCUCAGGACAUCCUGGGAAUUUGUAUUCACAGGUCACUAUCAUUUUAUUCCUCCUUUGUCAAAACCCACUUGGUAGAAUCACUUAUUUGUUAGGUGUUGCUAUACAUAGGUUCAACUGAAGUGAUAUACCAAAAAUAAACAAGCACAGAAUUGCGAGCUAUAAUGAAAAGGCUCUUUGUAUGUAACAUGACUCAGGUUAGCAUCACUUCCCUUCACAUCAUACCACAAAUCGCUAAAGCCUUCAGAUCCAGUCUGUGUGUUUGUGUGUUAUUGCCAAAAAGGAACUGAACCAAAUAUGGUUCCUGGAAUCUUGUUCCCAUUAUCACUUAUCCUCCUUCUCCCUACCUUAUUUUUCUGUCUUUCCACUUUGUUUGCCUAGGUUAUUAACUCGCACUCUAAAUUUGGCCCACUCUUCUGAUACGGUUGUUAAGGUUGUUUAUCUGUAUUUGCCCACAAAGGAACAUUCUCCUGUGGCUAUGUCACACUGCGCGUGUACGAGUGGGCCAAAGUUCAGCCUCUUCCUGUAAAUAGAUCAAAAGGAACAGCCAGAUGUCUCAAAUUCCCCACAAAAUGACACAGAAUUCCAGAGAACUUGCGCACAAGAGCAUGCUUUGGGCCGAUGCACUGCCGAAAUGGCUGUUGGUCGUGCCAGGAGACUUAGAGGGGAAAAAAAUAUUUUGGUUAUUAAGAAAGUGAUGUGUUGUAUUAUGUGUGGGAAUGUGCUUGCUUAUGUAUUUACAUGCUAAUACUGCUUUCAUAAAAAUAUAUACAGGGGAGUCCAAAAUUCUGAGAGCGCAUCUGCGAUUUUAACCAGGAACACUUGGUUUUAUAAAAAGUUUAUGACUUUGAAAUAUUUGUGUACGUUUUUAUUUAUUUUGUUUAGUGACUUAAUAAAAUAAAUUAAACGUUUUUCCUUGCAUUGAAUCAAAAAUCUAGCUUUUUUCGAACUGUUAUUCUGCUAAUAUAUUUUUAAACAAAUUUGGGCAUUACAAAAAUGCAAAAUAGAUUUUCCCUAGACUUUAUGACCCAGGUGUAUAUUUAAUUUAAUUUUGUUUAAUUUGUUGCAUCAUGUGGAUUUAAUGAAACUCACAGGGUAGCACCACUUUUCAGCCUUGAUUUAUUAAGAGGUGGCAGUCUCCUUCAGAAUGGCUUCUCAUUAAGUGUGUGAGAGAGAGAGAAUGAGUGUGUGACCUGCUGCCAUUAUAGCCAUCACUCUCCGUGCCCCAUGCAUGAACUCAGGAGGACAUGCUAAGCCAUAUUAACACCAUGCUGAACUCUAUUGACUGAUCUGCAUGAACUUCUCGCUCUUGCACACACAGCAGUGUUAAAACCAUCUAUCCUCACAGCACUGUCUCAUGCCGUUCUUUUCAUCUCAGAGUCUUUACAGAGAGUAUUUGGCUGCACUCAUGUAUCUCUCUGCAAGACUUCAGACAGGCAACUGCAGUGUGCCUUCAGGCCACAGAGGAUAUUUAGAGUACAUUUACCUGACAACAAUGUGCUAAAGAAGAAAAAUGUUGAGUUUUCACAGACAGGCAACAACGUUGUCAAAAUUCCUUUUUUACACAGAUCUACGAAAACACAUUAAAACGCUAUUUUAUGCAUGCCAGCCCACUAGUUGGUGAUGUCACUUUGUGAAGAAACACUACGCACACACACGACAUCACCGUUUUCAAAAAUGUGCACUUUUGUAGUUCACGCUUGUGUUGAUAACAUUAUACACUUCAAAAACGUACGUUUUCAGGGCGCCAAAACUUUGUAUUGUAAAUGAAUGGCCAAAAGCAAUAAAAACUUUCCAGUUUUUAGUUGAAAAUGUUGUUGUGUAAAUGCCCUUUUAAUAUCAAUAAAAAAAAUCAGGAUGUACUGUAUGUAACUAAUAUUUGGAAAAAUAUGGAACAAUGGCAAUGGGCGUAUCGGUUCGGAUGUGCCAUACACAGUAGACCAAUCACAACAGACUGGGCCAUCUGACCAAUCAGAGCAGAGUAGGCUCAUGGAAAGGUGUUGUUUAGAGAGACUGAAUCUUUGAACUGCUUCAAAUGAAUUGUUUGAGAAUCUGAGCAAAAGGUGAUAUUAAAGGCAUAUUUUGAGAAAAUAAAAGCUUUUUUUGACCUUGCAUGCAUGUAAACAUUGUAGCAGACUCCCAAAACAUUAUUAGGAAACUUAAAAAUGGGAUAAUGGGGCACUUUCAUUUAACUGUGCCUGCGUACAUAUGUGUCAUAGUUUGACAGGAAAAAAAUAAAACACACAUGCCUCCUAUGAUUCACAUAUGACUCCCUAUGAUUCAAAUCUGACUCAUCAGGUAAAACAUCCAUACAUCCCUCCAUCAUAUCUCUCACUUAUUUAUGCUGGAAAAGAGUGUGUGUCGGACUAAUCGAGGUGGAAAUGUGAUGAGUCACUAUCUCUUAGGUCAGAGCGCACUGUUGGGUUUUAAACGUUUGAUGGAGAAAUAAAUACGCCACAGCUGUAUGUGUAUGCAUAUGUUGUUUACAUUUAUAAAUGAAAAAUGGGCUCUGUACAGUGGUGGGCAGAUUCUCGUGAUGCUCUACGACCUGCUUUGACGCAUGUUCUGUAGUGGUUGCUGAUUUUAGUUUUUUUUCUUUUUUCAUCAGCCUGUAUUUCUGAAACCGCAGUCACUUUAAUGGAUAAUACACUGUUAAAUAUGUCAGAUAAGCUAAAAAAAAAAUGUUCAUCAACUGGUUUUUAUUAGUCAUUAUGUAAUCAUUUGGAGCAACAAAAUGAAUUUUUCAGUGAAAAGGGAAGAAAAAUUAUGGGCAGGACUUGAUUUUAUCCACCAGGAAUUGAUUUGAUUGGGAAAAGAUAAAUGUUAGAUACAAUAAUGGAGCAUGUGUGUUAUUACUAAAGUUAUUAAAGUUAUUUUGAUUUGAGACCUUUAAGAAAUAUUUUUAAUAAUAUGCAUUGAUAAACUGUGCCCCAAAACAUCAAUAAUUUGUAUUACACAUAUAUAUGCCAUUUUAUUUAUUUCAACCCUAUCAAAUACAUUUCCGUCCAAGGCCUUUUAGAAUAAUAGCAUUAGUUAAUUAAGUAAUAGCUUUAUAUGUUUUGUUCCCCAAAAUUAAAAUAACAGAGCUGAUCAUAAAACUAAGCAUUUCAAUAUCAUCUUACCAAGACAUAAUUGGGAGAUAUAGAGGGAUAACUGAAAUUUAUAUGCAUUUAUGCAAGUAGUCCGCCAUAUGGUUAUAAAAAUGUAUUUGCAUUUCAAGCUAUCAGAAUUUCUUUUUGGUCAUAAUUAACUGCUUCAAAAAAACAUUUCUGCUCAGUUUGGGCCUCUGAAUAAAAUUAAGGUGUUUUAUUUUUUCUCUCAAGUUGCAUAUUUUCACUAUACCUGUUUUAUACCAUAAAUAGACAAACAAGUUUUUAAUAUUAUCUAAGUUUAGAUAACUGUUCUAUUUAAAAAAAAACUAAAAAAAAAAAAAACAUUUAAAUAAAAAUGAGAAGAGAUACGUCAGUGUUUAAAGGUCAGAUUCAGGUCAAAAUAUCUCCUUACGCUGCACAUUUUCACUUCUCAAAGACUAAUCACUAUAAAGGAGUUUCACACCACCUCUCUAACAAAUUCAGCAGUGAGAAACACUCACAUGGCUGGGCAGAUUAAUCACUUCUGGGCCACGUCAUUACAGAUCUCACUCCAGCCAAGCCACCAAAGAGGAGUGUUUCUCUUUUCAGACAAGAAAACAUUCAGCUGUCCUUUUUGGUGGCAGGGCUUGGUAAGUAAAAAAUAAAUCGAUAACAGAGAGAAACAUGUUGAGCGAGCAACUGAGAUGAAGAGCAUGCUAUAAGCAGAAAUAGGAGCUCUUGUCGUUCUCUUUUUAAAAUCAGGCCUAGGAGGCAAUGGAACGGGAGGGGGUGAUGUCAUCACUGGUAGCAACGGGCAAUCAUGCAGUCCAUUCAUUUUUGUGGGUUUCUGUGUAUGUGUGUGCACGUGCGAGUUUCUGUCUUCUGCAUGCCACUUCCUGGGAUUGAAUAGAGCAGGAAGUGGAGAGACCGGGUGCAAAGAACAACGCCUCCAUGGUGGGCUUUUCACACACACACACACACACACACACACACACUAGAGAGCAGGACUCACAUGUGUGUUUGUGUAUUCAGUGAAUUGGCAGGCAUCCCUUUAGCUCUGCCCUGGUUUUGCUGGGUGCUUGUGUCUGAAUGAGAUGUACUGAAACACUGCCCUCUUCUGUUUGCUUUCAGAGCUGCAGAGAAAUGUUCGACUCCUGGUUUUCUAAUUGGACAUGGUAAGUAUAUAAUA